rnacentral:tRNA from 1 species
GCGGUUGUGGCGGAAUGGCAGACGCGCUAGGUUGAGGGCCUAGUGGGGGGUUGACCCCGUGGAGGUUCGAGUCCUCUCAACCGCA